rnacentral:lncRNA from 1 species
AACCUCCAUAUGCCGUGGGAGCGGCUCAAGAAAUGGCAAAAAGACAAAAAAAAACAAAAACCAAAAAAACCCUUUAAAUAUAACUGCCUUUUAGACAUCUUUUUGAUGCCGUGAUGUUGGGUCCUGGAGAGACCAGAAGGAAGAAUUCACAAUUUUGCCCAUUAAUGACAAAAGUUAAUGUGCGAGGUCAUUCCACUCCCUGACCCACCCUUUCGCAUUUCCUUAUUAAGCACACAAACCCGAGACAGGAGUAGACCGGUGAGUUUAUUGCCUUGCCAUAAGCGUUGUGCUACUGUUGUGGAAAGCACUGAGGAAGAGGAAUGAAGAGCAAUUAAUUCUGCCUAGGGGCUAAGGUGCCCUUUAGGUUGGACCUUGAAAUCUGUCUGUGGAGGUGAUCUGAGUGUUUUAGGCGGAGAGGGCAGCUUAAGCCAAGGCAUUUGGGAGUGACAGUGCAGUCAAACAUGGCUAAUUAUUAGAGAAAGGCAAAUCAAAACUACAGGAGGUACCACCACACAUCAUUGAAAUGUCUACAAAUAAUAAAUGCUGGAAGAGAUGUGGAGAAAAGGGAACCCUCCUGCAUUGUUGGUGGGAAUGUAAAUUGGUGAAGCCACUGUGGUAAAAAUAGAGUUACCAUAUGGUUCUGCAAUCCCACUCUUGGGUAUAUAUCUGGAAAAGACUGUAUUUUGAAAAAAUACAUGCAUGUUCCUAGAAGCACAGUUUACAGUAGCCAAGACAUGGAAACAAUCUAAAUAUCCAUCCACAGAGGAAUGGAUAAAGAAGAUGUAGUACAUAUAUAUGAUGGAAUACUACUCAGCCAUAAAAAAGAAUGAAAUAAUGCCCUUUGCAGCAACAUGGGUGGAACUAGAGACUCCCAUUCUAAGUGAAAUAGGUCAGACAGAGACAAAUAUAUGAUAUCACUUAGAUGUGGAAUCUAAAAAAAUGAUACAGAUGAACUUAUUUAUAAAACAAACAGACUCACAGACAGGAAACAUCUGUGGUUACCAAAAGCGAAAGAUUCAGGAGGAAUAAAUUAGGAAUUUGAAGGUAACAAAAACACACUAUAUAUAAAAUAAACAAUAAGCAUCUACUGUUUAGCACAGGGAACUGUACUCAAUAUUUUGUAAUAACCUAUAUGGGAAAAGAAUCUGAAAAAUGUAUAUAUACACAUAUAUCAGCCACUUUGUUAUACAUCUGAAACUAACACAUUAUAAAUCAACUGUACUUCAAUAAAUAAACUUUAAAAAAGUUAGAUGUGGGGUUCCAGUAGGGUUCAUGCCAAAAUUAUGUUGCUCUACCCUUACCUUUUCCUGGGCUCCAGAAACCAUAUUUGAUCAUCUAGGAAUAACUAAUAUGGAUUAGUGACUGCAGGUGGGAGCCAGUGGUCAGACCAGAAUUUGUGGGUUAUUCCACAUUGUAUUCAUAAUACACCUAGUGACACUGGUCUUAAAUUUAUGUUGUUAAAACUACCAAAGUAUUAUGAUUUUUCCCUAACCGACUGUUCUAAUGGACAGGAAAUUUGAAAAUUGCUCACAGGUUCUUCUACACCUUCAUUUAGUACAGCUCUCACGCUUCCUUUUCUCGUGGGAAGUGAGGCAGUGGAGAGGGAGGGGAGGAGAAGAAGUAAACGCAUCGGCUCUCCCUCAUUCACAGAAUGAGAUCCAACAUUCUCGACCCUUCACAAUCUUAAUCCAGCUUUUCUAAUGAUUACCUGUUACAAUAGGUAAAGAAAAGUCAGACAGUAAUACACUCUUAAUAUUUAAUAUUGUGUAGAUAGGUCCCUUUCAU